GAUGAACGCUGGCGGCGUGCCUAAUACAUGCAAGUCGAGCGAACGGACGAGAAGCUUGCUUCUCUGAUGUUAGCGGCGGACGGGUGAGUAACACGUGGAUAACCUACCUAUAAGACUGGGAUAACUUCGGGAAACCGGAUCUAAUACCGGAUAAUAUUUUGAACCGCAUGGUUCAACAGUGAAAGCCGGUCUUGCUGUCCCUUAUAGAUGGAUCCGCGCUGCAUUAGCUAGUUGGUAAGGUAACGGCUUACCAAGGCAACGAUGCAUAGCCGACCUGAGAGGGUGAUCGGCCACACUGGAACUGAGACACGGUCCAGACUCCUACGGGAGGCAGCAGUAGGGAAUCUUCCGCAAUGGGCGAAAGCCUGACGGAGCAACGCCGCGUGAGUGAUGAAGGUCUUCGGAUCGUAAAACUCUGUUAUUAGGGAAGAACAUAUGUGUAAGUAACUGUUCACAUCUUGACGGUACCUAAUCAGAAAGCCACGGCUAACUACGUG
rnacentral:rRNA from 1 species